rnacentral:rRNA from 1 species
CAGAUUGAACGCUGGCGGCAAGCCUAACACAUGCAAGUCGAGCGGCAUCGUAAAAGUUUACUUUUGACGGCAAGCGGCGUACGGGUGAGUAAUAUCUGGGAAUCUACCUAAUGAAGGGGGACAACUAUUGGAAACGAUAGCUAAUACCGCAUAAUGUCAUUACUGACCAAAGUAGGGGAUUUAAUUUUUAAACCUUAUGUCAUUAGAUGAGCCCAGACGAGAUUAGCUUGUAGGUAAGGUAAUGGCUUACCUAGGCUAUGAUCUCUAGCUGGUCUGAGAGGACAAACAGCCACACUGGAACUGAGACACGGUCCAGAC